GCGAGUGAAGCGGCAAGCUCAAAUUUGAAAUCUGGCCUCUUUGGGGUCCGAGUUGUAAUUUGUAGAGGAUGUUUCGGGCACCGCUCCGGUUUAAAUUUCUUGGAACAGAAUGUCAAAGAGGGUGAGAACCCCGUCUUGGACCGGCAGUAGGGCCCGUGUGAAACUCCUUCGACGAGUCGAGUUGUUUGGGAAUGCAGCUCAAAAUGGGUGGUAAAUUUCAUCUAAAGCUAAAUAUUGGCCAGAGACCGAUAGCGCACAAGUAGAGUGAUCGAAAGAUGAAAAGCACUUUGAAAAGAGAGUUAAACAGUACGUGAAAUUGUUGAAAGGGAAGCGCUUGCAACCAGACUUGCGCGCGGCGGUUCCCCCUUCCUUUUGGUUGGGUUAUUCCGCCGUGUCCAGGCCAACAUCGGUUCUGGGGGUCGGUUAAAGGCCUGGGGAAUGUAUCUACCCUUCGGGCGUAGACUUAUAGCCCCGGGUGUCAUGCGACCUCCCGGGACCGAGGAACGCGCUUCGGCUCGGAUGUUGGCGUAAUGGUUGUCAGCGACCCGUCUUGAAACACGGACCAAGGAGUCUAACAUCUAUGCGAGUGUUUGGGUGUCAAACCCGGAACGCGGAAUGAAAGUGAACGGAGGUAGGAAGCUUCGGCUGCACUAUCGACCGAUCCUGAUGUCUUCGGAUGGAUUUGAGUAAGAGCAUAGCUGUUGGGACCCGAAAGAUGGUGAACUAUGCCUGAAUAGGGUGAAGCCAGAGGAAACUCUGGUGGAGGCUCGCAGCGGUUCUGACGUGCAAAUCGAUCGUCAAAUUUGGGUAUAGGGGCGAAAGACUAAUCGAACCAUUAAAAAGUUACCGGUGGUUAAGUGUAACCGUGAAAGCGGUUGCAAGUGCCAGGUUCUGGCGCGACACUGUCAAAUUGCGGGGACUCCUAAAGCUUCCGACGACCGCCUCGCCCACGAAAGUGGGAGUGAGGCACC
rnacentral:rRNA from 1 species